UCUUAUGACCAUUUUCCCAACAUAAACUACAUUGUUGUGUCAUAUGAUCUGGAGCAAUAUCCAAUUCAUUUCUACGAUGCCUAGUACUGUUGACUCAUAAGUUCUCAAACAUGUUCAUUUUGUUUUUCUUCUAAUACUUUUAGCAAUUUCCUUAGAAGAUUAUCUUUCUUCUACAAAUUUCAUAGUAAUGUGUGAAGUCGUUGUAUCACCGUCGAAAGAGGGUCUCCUCACCCGUAAAAGAAUGGUGUUAGUUUCAUUUAUGAGCAUGUUUUCUGUCCACCAAAAAUAAUUCAUCCAUCAUUUUUCUGAAAUAACAAAACAAGAAAUCAAGUGAAUAUCCAAAUAUUUUGAAGUGGACAACUUAAUUUUUUUUACCUUUGAAUGUGCACAACUCCAAAACUUAAGAUCAGAAUUUCUUGGAGUCCUCGAUGUUUACAUUUUACAAUACUCUUUACAGUUACAAACAUCUAGUUCAACUAAAUAUACAAACUUUCCGGAUUGUUGAGACAUGACUAUCAAAUUUCAAAAAUCAAAAUAUUAAGUAUGAAAAAGUAAACGAUGAAUGAAAAAUGUGGAGUGAGUAACUCAUAUUUAUUGUUGAAGAAAGAUAUAUAUAUAUAGAUUCACGUGAGUGGAGUUAACAAAAAGAAUUAUAGUUCUCCCAUUUGUGAGCGAACUACUAUUAAGAUUUGUAUAAUAUUGAUUUGGAUGAAUUUGGAGUUAAAGGAGACUACGACGUAAAAGAUGAUA
rnacentral:lncRNA from 1 species